CUCUGUUAUCUAUGGAGUGAAGCUCUCUGCACCAGUGCAACACAUUUAUGGAGAAGAUUUGCUCCUGCAGCCUGUUGCCCCGAUCCUACAGGGUUAGAGGAAGAAGGAAGUGCAUUGCUGGGCUCCUCCCUGAGAGGCUCCAUGCCCUAUUCCCAUGGAAAGUGUACUGGGCCAGCCUGUUCCCUCUGACCUCCCUCACAGAAACCAAUGUCUGCUUCUGAGCAGCUGGGACUUCAUGUGGAGCUCUGCCGAAAGAGCACUGUGUUCAGAGUAUACUGUGUACUGAACUGGUUCGUGGAGUCAUGGUGGCACCCAGUACGUAUACGUCCUCCCAGGACCUGAGGAUACUGCUUUGACACCACAAAUUGAUUGCAUGAGAUCCACCGGCAGUUAGACAACACCAAGAACCAGGAAACUUCGGUAUUGUUUUAUCCCCACUGCUACAUCACAAGGAGGAAAAAAACUCAGGACAGGAUGAAAGCAAGAAGAUGAGAAUUCAACAUUAUUCCUGUAAUCUACAGGUAUCUGCUAGAACUGCAUAAACAUCUAAAAAAAACCCCACCUUUUUUGUAUAUUCACUAGAAUUUUGAAAUAAAUGCACAUUAGCCAUACUGCUUUCCAUUUGUGUUCACUUUCUAUAGACAUUUGAGUUACUGUCAUGACUGUUCAUAGAAAGAGAAUGUUAAAGCCACAUGUAUAUGUAUUUGUGGUAACCAGAUUUUAGAUUCACACAUGCAAGUAUUCGCCUCAGUAGCUGU